GUAGACGUUAGCUCUGUAGUUAGAGCACAGACCUCUGGCUCUCGGGUCCGCGAGUUCGAGUCCCGUCGUCUACU
rfam:Nasonia vitripennis chromosome 4 unlocalized genomic scaffold Chr4_random027, whole genome shotgun sequence.